rnacentral:rRNA from 1 species
GGUGCGCCUUAUGCAUGCAAGUCGAGCGAAGCUUUUCAGUAGUUUACUACAGAAAAUGACUGAGCGGCGAACGGGUGAGUAACGCGUGAGCAACCUACCUUAGUUACUGGGAUAGCCCGAGGAAACUCGGAUUAAUACCGGAUAUUCUUAUUAAAUCACAUGAUUUUUUAAGGAAAGGUCAGCCGAACUAAGAUGGGCUCGCGUUCUAUCAGCUAGUUGGUAGGGUAAUGGCCUACCAAGGCUACGACGGAUAGCUGGUCUGAGAGGACGAUCAGCCACACUGGGACUGAGACACGGCCCAGACUCCUACGGGAGGCUGCAGCAGGGAAUAUUGCGCAAUGAGCGAAAGCUUGACGCAGCGACACCGCGUGUGGGAUGACGGAUCUAGGUUUGUAAACCACUUUCAGGAGGGAAGAAAAUGACGGUACCUCCACAAGAAGCCCCGGCCAA